AUUGAACGCUGGCGGCAGGCCUAACACAUGCAAGUCGGACGGUAGCACAGAGGAGCUUGCUCCUCGGGUGACGAGUGGCGUACGGGUGAGUAAUGUCUGGGGAUCUGCCCGAUAGAGGGGGAUAACCACUGGAAACGGUGGCUAAUACCGCAUAACGUCGCAAGACCAAAGAGGGGGACCUUCGGGCCUCUCACUAUCGGAUGAACCCAGAUGGGAUUAGCUAGUAGGCGGGGUAACGGCCCACCUAGGCGACGAUCCCUAGCUGGGCUGAGAGGAGGACCAGCCACACUGUACGUGAGACACGGUCCAGACUCCUACGGGAGGCAGCAGUGGGGAAUCUUGCACAAGGGGCGCAAGCCUGAUGCAGCCAUGCCGCGUGUAUGAAGAAGGCCGUCGGGUUGUAAAGUACUUUCAGCGGGGGGGAAGGCGAUGUGGUUAAUAACCGCAUUGAUUGACGUUACCCGCAGAGGGAGCCCCGGCUAAUUCCGUGCCAGCAGCCUCCGUAA
rnacentral:rRNA from 1 species